rnacentral:rRNA from 1 species
CUACGGGUUGCUGCAGUGAGGAAUAUUGCACAAUGGGGGGAACCCUGAUGCAGCAACGCCGCGUGGAGGAUGACGCAUUUCGGUGUGUAAACUCCUUUUAUAUGUCAAGAAAAUGACGGUAGCAUAUGAAUAAGCACCGGCUAACUCCGUGCCAGCAGCCGCGGUGAAUACGGAGGGUGCAAGCGUUACUCGGAAUCACUGGGCGUAAAGGACGCGUAGGCGGGCUUGUAAGUCAGGUGUGAAAUCCUACAGCUUAACUGUAGAACUGCACUUGAAACUACGAGCCUAGAGUAUGGGAGGGGGAGAUGGAAUUAGUGGUGUAGGGGUAAAAUCCGUAGAUAUCACUAGGAAUACCUAAAGCGAAGGCGAUCUCCUGGAACAUAACUGACGCUAAGGCGUGAAAGCGUGGGGAGCAAACAGGAUUAGAUACCCGCGUAGUC